rnacentral:lncRNA from 1 species
GGUUGAGGGCCGGCUGGAGGAUGUUGAAGAGCACCCACCCGAGGGCGGGGGCCACCACGAAGAGCAGCAGCAGGCCCCGGUUGUCGUCCGCCGGCGCCGCCGCGGCCGCCAUGGCCGCGAUCUCCCCCGCGGCGGCCGAGGCCCGCUCCGGCGCGGCAGCGGCCAUGGCGGCCCCGAGCCCGAGCCCGGCCACGAGCGCCUUCUCCGACCGCAUCUUGUUGAGCUGGUUCAGCGCCGGCUGCAGGAUGUUGUAGAGCACCCAGGCGAGCGCCGGGGAGACGACGAUCAGGAGGAGCAGGCCCCGGUUGUCGUCCGCCGGCGCAGCCGCCGCCAUGUCCGCCACCCGCUGCGCCGCCAUCGCCGCGUCGGAGGUCGCCAGCGAG